CCUACGGGUGGCACCAGUGAGGAAUAUUGGUCAAUGGACGGAAGUCUGAACCAGCCAUGCCGCGUGAAGGAUGAAGGCGUUCUGCGUUGUAAACUUCUUUUAUCAGGGAAGACACCUACUGUUUCUACGGUAGCCGACGGUACCUGAUGAAUAAGCACCGGCUAACUCCGUGCCAGCAGCCGCGGUAAUACGGAGGGUGCAAGCGUUAUCCGGAUUUACUGGGUUUAAAGGGUGUGUAGGCGGGCUAUUAAGUCAGUGGUGAAAUCUCCGAGCUUAACUCGGAAACUGCCAUUGAUACUAUUAGUCUUGAAUAUUGUUGAGGUUGGCGGAAUAUGUCAUGUAGCGGUGAAAUGCUUAGAUAUGACAUAGAACACCGAUUGCGAAGGCAGCUAGCUAAACAAUUAUUGACGCUGAGGCACGAAAGCGUGGGGAUCAAACAGGAUUAGAUACCCUAGUAGUC
rnacentral:rRNA from 1 species